AUUGAACGCUGGCGGCAGGCCUAACACAUGCAAGUCGGACGGUAGCACAGAGGAGCUUGCUCCUCGGGUGACGAGUGGCGGACGGGUGAGUAAUGUCUGGGGAUCUGCCCGAUAGAGGGGAUAACCACUGGAAACGGUGGCUAAUACCGCAUAACGUCGCAAGACCAAAGAGGGGGACCUUCGGGCCUCUCACUAUUGGAUGAACCCAGAUGGGAUUAGCUAGGAGGCGGGGUAACGGCCCACCCAGGCGACGAUCCCUAGCUGGUCUGAGGGGAUGACCAGCCACACUGGAACUGAGACACGGUCCAGACUCCUACGGGAGGCAGCAGUGGGGAAUAUUGCACAAUGGGCGCAAGCCUGAUGCAGCCAUGCCGCGUGUAUGAAGAAGGCCUUCGGGUUGUAAAGUACUUUCAGCGGGGAGGAAGGCGAUGUGGUUAAUAACCGCGUCGAUUGACGUUACCGCAGAAGAAGCACCGGCUAACUCCGUGCCAGCCGCCGCAGUAA
rnacentral:rRNA from 1 species